CUAAGCUCACCCCUCAGCUUUGUAUAGCAUGGUACAGGUGGAAUAGGUGUCAUAUCACUGCAGACGUGUUGCAAGCCUCUGCACCUUCACACCGCCGUCGUGACAGAGGUAGAGAGCCCAGCCCAUUACCUCCCUACCUCAGACGUCAGAGUGACAGAGAUGGAUUCGAGUGGCGACCUCGUGAUGGACUACCAGGGCUGUCUGGGAGGUUUUACUGUGGCGCCAAGCUGUUUGAUGUCCCAUAGUCUUGGCUCAACUCCAGACCAGCAAACGCCUCCCGGGCCUCCGCCAUUAACGCCAUUAAUGUCGCCAAUCUGAUUCAGAGGGGUUGGGUUAAAUGCAGGAGAUACAUUUUGUUUGAAUGCAUUCAGUUGUGCAACUGACUAGGUAUCCCCUUCCCUAAUUAUUUGUGGAAAAAUACACAACCUUGGUCUUGGUGUCUGGUUCUAAUCAAUUUUUUAUUAAACGGUCACUCUCA